rnacentral:rRNA from 1 species
CGAGCGGAAACGACAACAUUGAAUCUUCGGAGGAUUUGUUGGGCGUCGAGCGGCGGACGGGUGAGUAACGCCUAGGAAAUUGCCUUGAUGUGGGGGAUAACCAUUGGAAACGAUGGCUAAUACCGCAUAAUGCCUACGGGCCAAAGAGGGGGAUCUUCGGACCUCUCGCGUCAAGAUAUGCCUAGGUGGGAUUAGCUAGUUGGUGAGGUAAUGGCUCACCAAGGCGACGAUCCCUAGCUGGUCUGAGAGGAUGAUCAGCCACACUGGAACUGAGACACGGUCCAGACUCCUACGGGAGGCAGCAGUGGGGAAUAUUGCACAAUGGGCGAAAGCCUGAUGCAGCCAUGCCGCGUGUAUGAAGAAGGCCUUCGGGUUGUAAAGUACUUUCAGUUGUGAGGAA